rnacentral:rRNA from 1 species
UACGAAGGGGGCUAGCGUUGUUCGGAAUUACUGGGCGUAAAGGGCUCGUAGGCGGCCAACUAAGUCAGACGUGAAAUCCCUCGGCUUAACCGGGGAACUGCGUCUGAUACUGGAUGGCUUGAGUUUGGGAGAGGGAUGCGGAAUUCCAGGUGUAGCGGUGAAAUGCGUAGAUAUCUGGAGGAACACCGGUGGCGAAGGCGGCAUCCUGGACCAACACUGACGCUGAGGAGCGAAAGCCAGGGGAGCAAACGGGAUUAGAAACCCUUGUAGUCC